rnacentral:tRNA from 1 species
GAUUCGCUUGCUUAGUUGGUAAAGCACUUGCCUAGCGUAUAAGCGUCAUGAGUUCAAAUCUCAUCUGAGCUG